GCUCCCGUGGUACAGAGGCUGUGCCCCCGGCGCUAAACCGGGAGAGGUGGGUUCGAGUCCUACCGGGAGUA
rnacentral:tRNA from 1 species